UGCCCCUAUGGCUUAGUGGUACAGCAUCGCACUUGUAAUGCGAAGAUCCUUGGUUCGAUUCCGAGUGGGGCAG
rnacentral:tRNA from 1 species